rnacentral:rRNA from 1 species
AGGGAAUCUUCCACAAUGGACGCAAGUCUGAUGGAGCAACGCCGCGUGAGUGAAGAAGGUUUUCGGAUCGUAAAGCUCUGUUGUUGGUGAAGAAGGAUAGAGGUAGUAACUGGCCUUUAUUUGACGGUAAUCAACCAGAAAGUCACGGCUAACUACGUGCCAGCAGCCGCGGUAAUACGUAGGUGGCAAGCGUUGUCCGGAUUUAUUGGGCGUAAAGCGAGCGCAGGCGGAAGAAUAAAGUCUGAUGUGAA